rnacentral:rRNA from 1 species
UACGUAGGGUGCAAGCGUUGUCCGGAAUUAUUGGGCGUAAAGGGCUCGUAGGCGGUCCGUCACGUCGGGAGUGAAAACUCAGGGCUCAACCCUGAGCGUGCUUCCGAUACGGGCGGACUAGAGGUAUGCAGGGGAGAACGGAAUUCCUGGUGUAGCGGUGGAAUGCGCAGAUAUCAGGAGGAACACCGGUGGCGAAGGCGGUUCUCUGGGCCGUAACUGACGCUGAGGAGCGAAAGCGUGGGGAGCGAACAGG